UAGUGGCGAACGGGUGAGUAACACGUGAGUAACCUGCCCUUGACUCUGGGAUAAGCCUGGGAAACUGGGUCUAAUACCGGAUACGACCAUUCCACGCAUGUGGUGGUGGUGGAAAGCUUUUGUGGUUUUGGAUGGACUCGCGGCCUAUCAGCUUGUUGGUGGGGUAAUGGCCUACCAAGGCGACGACGGGUAGCCGGCCUGAGAGGGUGACCGGCCACACUGGGACUGAGACACGGCCCAGACUCCUACGGGAGGCAGCAGUGGGGAAUAUUGCACAAUGGGCGCAAGCCUGAUGCAGCGACGCCGCGUGAGGGAUGACGGCCUUCGGGUUGUAAACCUCUUUCAGUAGGGAAGAAGCGUAAGUGACGGUACCUGCAGAAGAAGCGCCGGCUAACUACGUGCCAGCAGCCGCGGUAAUACGUAGGGCGCAAGCGUUAUCCGGAAUUAUUGGGCGUAAAGAGCUCGUAGGCGGUUUGUCGCGUCUGCUGUGAAAGACCGGGGCUCAACUCCGGUUCUGCAGUGGGUACGGGCAGACUAGAGUGCAGUAGGGGAGACUGGAAUUCCUGGUGUAGCGGUGAAAUGCGCAGAUAUCAGGAGGAACACCGAUGGCGAAGGCAGGUCUCUGGGCUGUAACUGACGCUGAGGAGCGAAAGCAUGGGGAGCGAACAGGAUUAGAUACCCUGGUAGUCCAUGCCGUAAACGUUGGGCACUAGGUGUGGGGGACAUUCCACGUUUUCCGCGCCGUAGCUAACGCAUUAAGUGCCCCGCCUGGGGAGUACGGCCGCAAGGCUAAAACUCAAAGGAAUUGACGGGGGCCCGCACAAGCGGCGGAGCAUGCGGAUUAAUUCGAUGCAACGCGAAGAACCUUACCAAGGCUUGACAUGAACCGGAAAGACCUGGAAACAGGUGCCCCGCUUGCGGUCGGUUUACAGGUGGUGCAUGGUUGUCGUCAGCUCGUGUCGUGAGAUGUUGGGUUAAGUCCCGCAACGAGCGCAACCCUCGUUCUAUGUUGCCAGCGCGUGAUGGCGGGGACUCAUAGGAGACUGCCGGGGUCAACUCGGAGGAAGGUGGGGACGACGUCAAAUCAUCAUGCCCCUUAUGUCUUGGGCUUCACGCAUGCUACAAUGGCCGGUACAAAGGGUUGCGAUACUGUGAGGUGGAGCUAAUCCCAAAAAGCCGGUCUCAGUUCGGAUUGGGGUCUGCAACUCGACCCCAUGAAGUCGGAGUCGCUAGUAAUCGC
rnacentral:rRNA from 1 species